UGACGAUAGUUCCGGACUUGAGGGUCCUA
rnacentral:sRNA from 1 species